GUCCCCGUAGCUUAAUGGAUAGAGUUCUGGGCUUCGGACCCAGCGGUGGGGGUUCGAAUCCCUCCGGGGACA
rnacentral:tRNA from 3 species